UGAGUUUAACACUUCAUGACUCAGAGCUGCCCUACAUGGCAACAGAACCCACAGCAACAAUGAUUUUCAUCACCAUCUUCCUCUGGACACUCCUCAUCUCUGCUCAGGAGUCUAGUGGACAGGUUACUGUGACUCAGACUCCAGCAGUGGUAUCUGUUCUCCCAGGACAGACAGUCACUGUGAGCUGUAAGGCCAGUCCUGCAGUGCACAAUGACAAUCAAUUAGCCUGGUACCAACAGAAAGCUGGAGAAGCUCCUAAACCACUGAUACUUUAUGCAACUGACCGUCAGUCUGGGAUCCCAAAGCGUUUCAGUGGCAGUGGAUCCGGAACUGACUUCACUCUGACCAUCACAGCAGUCCAGGCUGAAGAUGGAGCAGAAUAUUUCUGUCAGAGUUUACACAACAUCAACAGUUACUGGCCACGCACACAGUGUUAUACGCCAUUACAAAAACCUCCUUCAGAAGGACUGCACAGCGACUGCACUGCUGCAGCUGGCACCUCCUGCAGGUGCUGAGGG